AACGAACGCUGGCGGCAUGCCUAACACAUGCAAGUCGAACGGGACCUUCGGGUCUAGUGGCGCACGGGUGCGUAACGCGUGGGAACCUGCCCUUAGGUUCGGAAUAACUCCCCGAAAGGGGUGCUAAUACCGGAUAAUGUCUUCGGACCAAAGAUUUAUCGCCUUUGGAUGGGCCCGCGUUGGAUUAGCUAGUUGGUAGGGUAAAAGCCUACCAAGGCGACGAUCCAUAGCUGGUCUGAGAGGAUGAUCAGCCACACUGGGACUGAGAUACGGCCCAGACUCCUACGGGAGGCAGCAGUGGGGAAUAUUGGACAAUGGGCGAAAGCCUGAUCCAGCAAUGCCGCGUGAGUGAUGAAGGCCUUAGGGUUGUAAAGCUCUUUUACCCGGGAUGAUAAUGACAGUGCCGGGAGAAUAAGCUCCGGCUAACUCCGUG
rnacentral:rRNA from 1 species